rnacentral:rRNA from 1 species
CACGUAGGGUGCGAGCGUUGUCCGGAAUUAUUGGGCGUAAAGAGCUCGUAGGCGGUGUGUCGCGUCGGCCGUGAAAACCUGCAGCUUAACUGUGGGCGUGCGGUCGAUACGGGCAUCACUGGAGUUCGGCAGGGGAGACUGGAAUUCCUGGUGUAGCGGUGAAAUGCGCAGAUAUCAGGAGGAACACCGGUGGCGAAAGCGGGUCUCUGGGCCGAUACUGACGCUGGAGGAAGCGAAAGCGUGGGGAGCAAACAGG